AUGCCUAGUUUUAUAUUCUUUCAGAGGAAUGCUUCAUGUAUGUGCCCUUCUCGAGAAACCUUUGCUGUGAAUUCUGUUGUGGCAUCAGCAUUAGACUCAGUGUAUGUGGUGCUGCAGGUGUCAUUGAGGACAAAAUACAACACACAUUCUUCUUUCCUUCCAGAUAAAAGGCCACCAGUCUCACAGGCUCCAAGAAGCAAAUAUUAAGAAGAUGAAAGAUGGAAGAAGUGCAGGAAGACUGCCAUAAGACUGAAGGAAGCGGUGUGGCAGAAAGAAGCAAUGGAUAUGCAAAUGUCUUGUUGUCUUCUCCUUAUAGAGCUAGGAUUUCCAAAGCCAUAUAUAAAAUCUAAAUAAUAUUCCUUCUUCAUUCUGGGGGCAAGAGAUGUUCUUCAGCUUUAAAAAUGUCUUUCAUAUACAGAUGUAUAUCUGAAGGGAGCAUAAGUGUUUUCAUAAAGGUAUAGAAUGUGAAACACGGUGAAUUUAGAAUGAAUUAAGAAACAGCCACAUGUUCCUCUCCCAAAAUUAAUAGGGAGAUUGCACAUUUUUCUUUAAAUGAAUCAUUAACACUAUAUGGCAAUUAAAAAAACCACACCACUCAAUUUCUUAUUCAGUGUGUUGUGUCUAGUAGAUAAUAUUAAUGGGUAUACUCCAAAUCUAGGCUAUCAUGCUGGGAAGGAGACCAAGGGGAACAAAAAGCAGUUGGAACAUUGCACUCUCUGGUUUGCAUACAGCACACCAGACUCAUCCCUGUUGUGACUAUGCUGCAGAAGUGUGUUCUGCUGUGUGCAUUAUAUAACCCACGUAAAGGGCACUGAUGCGCAUUUCAGAGUAAUUAAGGUUAAUAAAGCACUGGGAUUAUAAAACA
rnacentral:lncRNA from 1 species